AUAGGCUGUUAGCCUGAGCAUCUGUGGUCCUGUGCAUGCCACGAUACGAGUAACAGAUGUGGUUAACCGUAAUCCUGCUGGUUUUGAGACUUGAUAUUAAAUGUCCGGGACGAACAUUCUGUUAAACUGUUACUCGUUACUUUGCUUAAAAUUUCCAGAAUGACUUCGAGUGAAAUACCACUGGCAGUCGCAGUUUCGUAGGAACGAUCAGAAGUCUAUCGGGAUCAUCAAAAUGACGAAAUCCUUUAUAACCCCCGGAUUAGUUCACGACUUCCCGCCACGUCUUCAAUGAGAGAAACUUUGCACUCAUCGCAUUAAAAUGGAUUAUCGGCUGUGGUGUGGACGGGAAGGAGCCUCAAGGUAAAGGAGCCUCUUCAACCUUGCCUUUUGGCGGGGUAACUUCAACCCUGACUGUCUGCUGCCCCCAUCGAAGAUCAGCUAAUCCACAGAUGGCCUUCUGGUUGCAAUUGGGAGAAUGAUGUACCGGCGCGGACGUCUCGUCUUGUCGUGUGUGGUGUCAUGUGCGAUCGUUGGGUUAUUACUACUUAUUAGUCGGUAUCUAUAGCAUUACUGCGGUAGUGGUCAGGGAAUUUGGUGGCACGAUAUUAAUCAUGUAGGCAGGGCAGAUCACCACAGGCUGUAUGUACUGUAGUACAAGGCAACGCCUCAGGGAAGGGAAACAAAUGGGUGAUUCCACUGACCAUGAGCCAUGGUUUACUUAUGGAAGUGUACAUGUGAAGCUGCGUAACGGUUUAUUGUAGCUGUUGUAAUUUGCUUAGGAUUAUUGUGCUUUACAGUAUUUUUGCCGCUGUGAUAGCUCGUUGUAUAUCCUAUUACCCAGCUGCUGGACGAUAACCGCCGAGCUCCGGAAUUCGGCCGAUAAUCGUAGCGCUUCGUCCUAACACCCUUUAUCAACUGGAUUGCUAUUCAACCACGAACAGUAUCGCUUUAUGGAGCACCUUACCUGCAUUUUGUAUAUCUAUUCUGUCUUCCGGAUCGUAUCCAGUUUUACUCUUCAGUGAACUUUCCCGUCUCAUUAUUAGCAAUAGCUGGGAAUGGUGAAACCCUUUAUUCGGCUCCCACUGCAUGGAUCACGAGUUCAUGGAAGCCGACUGCCACUGGAGCAAAAUGGAUUCUGAUGGGCUUCCUCCUGGCCUGUCCGUCGGUGAGACGCCGCUGGAUCCACGAAUGGCACCAUACGACACUGGAAAAGAAGAUCCCCAACAGCGCAUCAUCUCUAUUACCCAGCGCUUAUUAUUGGUAUCCUGGGAUCCAGCGGCGUCUCACCGACGGGCAGGCCGACGUGGAUGCAGCUAACGGAGAAAACGCUUUGACCUUUUGAAUGCUGCCUGGAACUGUCAGUAUAUCAAGAUAAUCCGUGGAGAAAGCUGCUGUGAUAAAGUCAACGGUGACUGCGUAUCUGCUGCAUCCACGUCUUUAUUUAGUCGUUAUCAUCUUAUCGCUAUUGUUGGAAGAAUCCUGGUGGGAUUGUAUCCUCCAUUUCUCGUUGUUGAUUGAGGUUCUCAUUUCACGGAUAAUCGUAACAAUGCACCUUGCAGUCUCAGCUUGAACAUGGUAAGUUACUUUGUUAUUGCAAUAUCGCUUCGCACUUCCCAUAAGUAGAACAUGGCUCGAGUCGCAUCAUUCAAGUCUUUAAGUCCUUUAAGGGAUU